GUUCGCUCUCGGGACUGAGAGGGACCAGACAUCAAUCCAGGUUCUCCACAUCUUUCUAAACAAGUCUCUCCUAUUUCAAACUUGCCAGCAACAAAUCUGGAGCACGGGGGAAGCAAAGAGGAUGCUGUUCCACUCUAAAACCUCCCCCUGCACUGCUUCUAGGGUGGCACAGCUACAUGCCAACCCCGCUUGCACCAGAGCCAUGAUCCAGCCCACUGGAGCUUCCGAAACCUUCUAAAGUGUGGAGCGUUGGACAGAAAACUCCUCACAAAUGGGCCAUUUGUUUCCUUCCCCUUCAGUUAUUUUUUUUAACUCCAUAAAUAAAUGUGCUACAUGAUCUUUUAGA